UUUGACUGCUUAAAGAAAGUGACAUUUUUACUGCUCUCAGCCUUUGGACCUACAUACCUAUGAACAGAUAUUUCCACAUAUCAAGACUGUUCUUUGUCCAUACUGGUUAAUGACUGAUUACUCAGAGGCUUGUGUGCUGCUUAAAGUAUCAACCUGAGAGCCUGAGAUUGGAGAACUCAGCAAGGAAAAGCAAGGCCAAGAUCACACUAAAAGGAGUAAGGGACUGCAACUGAGCGGUGGAGAGACAUAAUCACCAAUGGAAUACUCUGGAUCUCCUUUAAUGUCAACAUCAUCAGAUGCCCACAUAUACAGAGAGAGACUCAAACCAUGAAAAGGAAGGAACAAACAUUCCCAAGCACCUCUCUUUCUUCUCCUGCUCAACGCAUUCAUUUGACUGGAAUUAACAAAAGCGGCAUUUGUUGGACUUGGAGGAAAGGGGUCCUGAUGUAAAAAUGAGGCUUGCAUUUUAAAACAGACACUUGAAGUUAUAGCCUGUAUUUCUUGCCCAUACCCAGCAAAUAUUUCAUUGCAGAAUGUUCUGUACAGGACUGUAUUGAAGUUAGGUUGAUUUAUCCCUGAAAGUGUGUGUGGCUGAACUUCAUUUUAAACCUUCUGUCUAGACUGUUUUUUUUUUGUUUUUUUUUAAAUCUUGGAUUGAUACUAAGUUUGCCAUAAGCCAGUUAAGAUGUCAGGCAGUGUCCAGUAGCUUUUUUGUUGUUAUUUACAAUACUGUGGUGGAAGUUUUAACUCUACGUGAGCCUUUGCUAUCAACAACAAUAUUGGCAGGUGGAACCUUAAAUUUUAUUUUAAAAAGAUAUUUGGUUAUUUCCAUUGAGUUUUGUACAAUCUCUACCCUGAAAAUACUACCUUCACCAUCCAAGAAUGCAGGAUAUUGAAUGAUUUAAAGUGCAGUUCUACUAUCAGCAGUCACUUUGAGCAACAUGGGAUUCCACAUAUUCUCGGUGACAAUGAUUUCCAGAGCCAAGGGAUCCAAUGAUCUGAAGCUACUGACAGUGGAUGUUCUCCAGAGAUACAUAAAGCAGUAAGCAUAUGAUGAGCUUUCAUGCAGCCUCUUUUCUAUCACUCAGCUUCCUUUUCACUGUGUGCAACUUUCUGAUUAGAAUUAUUCUGCAUAAAGUUAACAAUUAUUUAAUAAAAAUGAAGCUAACAUUGAAAAUGAAAUGGAAAUUAAACUU